CCUGGGCCGCCGGAGGCCCAGAUGGCGUGGGGGAGGGCGCGCUCCGCACCGGGCCGGGGUCCUGGCUGCGCCCGCGCCGGAGCCUAAGCGAGCCGGCGCGAAGCCCGCGGUGAUGCCCGCUCGCGUGUGCGCCGCGCAUUCCGCAAUCCUGCGCUCUGCCCUCCUCCCCACCCCCGGCGCCCUGGAGGCAGACUCUUCCCAGUUGCCAGAUGGAGACGGCCAGUUCAGUGACAUAGAAGGACGAGGAUGCUCUGAGAUGGGAGAACUUCGUGCAGAAGAUCCCUGGCUUAGCUCCAUCCGUAGUGACCCAUCCGAGCGCCUCCUUGGGUACCACCCAGCAUCCGCGGGCCUGAAGCUCGGGAUUGGACCGAUGCAAAGAUCUGCCGCCGUUCAACUUAACAUUUAUUGAGCUAAACUUAUAGGGAGCCAGGCGCCCUGCUAGACAAUGGGGAGGAGGGACUGAAAGACGAGUGGGACACAGACCAUUGAAGGAGGUCACAGCCCGAGGAAAAGACGGACACGCAAGUGGGUGAUUUCAAUAUUAUGGAAGCAAAGCCUGACCCCUCUCUCCUGGGCCCAGUGCCCUGCAUCCGUCGUUUCAACCCACUCGGGGGUCUUUGGCCGCUCCCUCCCUCUUGUAUCAUAUUCAGUUUCUCGUAUUCCGAUGGCUUCUUCCCGACGUGAAUAGCUCUCCUCUCGUGAAAAAGAAAAAAAUCUUUCAGUUGAUGCUACGUAUUCAUUUAUAAUCACGGAACGCUCGUUUUGUGCCUGGCUCCCUGCGAGACUCCUCACAGGUCUCUGGGCUGCGGUUUUCAAACCUCUGCAUCUGUAUACGGCGCUGUAGGAGCUGUGAGAAGUGAGCCUGUUCACUGCUUCAGCGUCCUCCCAGGAACCAACUGCUUCACCUGGGGGAAGCUGGUGUCCUCCUGCUGGAUGUCCGCAGGCCAAUAGAGGCCCAGCUUCUAAUGGCACCCCGCACUCCAUUGCCUGGGUCCGCGACCCUGGCUACCAUAUCCUUCCUGCCAGCUGUCUCCGCUGGGGCCUCUUCUGGCUAGAAAGACACCUUGAGCCAGGAUUCACCCAGCCUUGACCCUGACUCUGCUUAACCUCUGUGGAUCCCUGAUGCACUAACCUUAGAUUCACGCUUUUCCCUUUUAAAAAUUCCUCUUUCAAAUUAAAAAAAAAAAAAUCAUAAUACAAAAAGAUAUCUUAAUAUCCCUACCAUCCAAAAUUAACCAUCAAUUACAUUUUGGUCUAUCUGCUUCCCAUUGUUUUUUUAAAAUCAUUCGAUUCUUGCGAAAGUGAUACAAUACAUGUACAUUGUAAAAAAGUAAAAUUAUGCAGGAAAAUACAGAAAAUAAAAGAAAACCAAAUUUUAUCAGCCAGAAAUAACUUUCAUGAAUGUUCACUAAAUCCUGGACAUCUUUCUAGGCAUAUAUUGUCAUAUAAAUAUAAAUAUGGCAAAAAAUAAAAUAAAUAUGUCAUAUAUGCCAUUUGUAAGACAUAUGUAUGGAUAAAUGCAGAUAGAUG
rnacentral:lncRNA from 1 species